GACCAGAUAGCUCAAUUGGUAGAGCAUUUGUCUAGAGUUCAGAGGGUCCCGGGUUCAAACCCCGGUCUGGCCG
rnacentral:tRNA from 1 species